CAUUGCCACAUACCACCCUGAAUGCGUGAGAUCCGUCUGAUCUCGGAAGCUAAGCUGGAUCAGGCCUGGUUAGUACUUGGAUGUGAGAACUGCUGCGGAUUCCAGAAGUUGUCCAUGA
ensembl:rRNA 5S_rRNA 5S ribosomal RNA